AUGAAUGGCUACAUAGAUUAUUCCAGAACAAGGAGAAGUGGGCUUUGGUUUAUGGUCGACAAACCUUUUUGUGCAGACAUGAAAUCUAUACAAAGAAGCGAGAGUCUGAAUGCACUAUUGAAACGAUACCUGCAUGUUCGCCUUGAUUUGUUAGAUUUCUUCAAGCAUUAUGAGAGGGCUGUGGAUGAUAGAAGAUAUGCUGAAGUGGAAAGUGAUUUCUAUGUGAGUCAAACAUCACCAAAGGUGCCAUAUGUGCAGAUGUUGAUACAAACUUCGAAAGCAUAUACGCCCGCUAUGUUUGAGAUAUUUAAAGGAGAAUUUGACAUGGUAAUGGGAUAUUGUGUGUACGAGAGUGGUCGUACGGGCUCUAUUCCUGAAUUCAAGGUUACCCAUUCAACUAGCCAAAAUAGUCAUACUGUGAAAUUUGAUCCCGAUGGAUCAAAAGUGUCAUGCUCAUGCAAAAAGUUUGAAUUUGUUGGGGUAUUGUGUCGUCAUGCAUUGAAGGUGUUGGACCACAAUAAUAUCAAGGAGUUGGCACCGGAAUAUAUCUUGAAAAGAUGGACAAGGCGAGCAAAAUCAGGUCCAUCACAGGCAAUUCAAAAGUGCUCUGAUGAUGAAGAUACAAGAGUUGUGCUAGCUAGACAAUAUGGAUCACUAUGCCGCACUUAUAAUAACAUUUUGAGCAAAGCAGCAGCAAGCAAAGAGGCAUAUGCACUACUGCAAAGUAUGUCAAUUGAACUAAUGGAAAAGGUGGACCAAAUUUUACAUGGAAAUCAAUCAGAAGAUAUAUCACCAGAGCAUGAACAAGCAGAGAAGCAACCAGUUGAAUGCAACAUUGAGAAUGUAGUCCAAGCACAGGGAAUAAAGAGAAAAGAACAAGGAAGUAGCAACAAGAGGAUUAAAUCUGGACUAGAACUGAACAGUAAGAAUAAACGUAAUUCGAAAGGUCAAGGAGCAACAUGCAAGAAUAAGAGUGGUGAAUGUGCUUCUGCAUCAUCUGGAGCAAAUCCUAGCUUGAACAUAUCAAAUAAGAAUAAACGUAAUACGAAAGGUCAAGGAGCAGCAUGCAAGAAUAAGAGUGGUGAUUGUGCUUCUGCAUCAUCUCGAGCAAAUCCAGUAUUGGAGCAUGCUAUGCCUCCAGUACCAGAUGCUGCUAAUUAUAAUCAGCAAGUAUUGCAGCAUGUUAUGCCUCCAGUACCAAAUGCUGCUAAUUACAAUCAACAAGUAUCGCAGCAUGCUAUGCCUCCACUAUCAAAUGUUGCGAAUUACAAUCAGCAAGUAUUGCAGCAUGUUAUGCCUCCACUACCAAAUGUUGCUAAUUACAAUAUGCAAGGAUUGCCACACGCUAUACCUCCGCUACCACAAGUUGUUUCCCCAUUGCCACAUGCACAUAAUUACAAUUUGCAUGUACUGCCGCCGGGUACUAUGACAUCGGUACCACAACCUGAGAACUACAAUUUACAAGUAUUACAGCAUGGCUUGCCUUCGCUAUCGCAGGCAGACACUGCUAGUUUUCAACAGUUACUUGGCUUGCGGCAACAACAACCAUAUUUCUAUCAUAGCACUCAACCAAGCCAGACUUCUAUGGUGUCACCAUACUCUGAGAUGGCCAACAUCUCAAAAUGA
rnacentral:rRNA from 1 species